rnacentral:rRNA from 1 species
UGCGUAGGCGGUUUGUUAAGUCCGUUGUGAAAGCCCUGGGCUCAACCUGGGAAUUGCAGUGGAUACUGGCGAGCUAGAGUGCGGUAGAGGAUGGUGGAAUUCCCGGUGUAGCGGUGAAAUGCGUAGAGAUCGGGAGGAACACCCGUGGCGAAGGCGGCCAUCUGGACCAGCACUGACGCUGAGGCACGAAAGCGUGGGAGCAAACA